GACGAACGCUGGCGGCGUGCUUAACACAUGCAAGUCGAACGGAAAGGCCCUGCUUGCAGGGUGCUCGAGUGGCGAACGGGUGAGUAACACGUGGGUGAUCUGCCCCUUAUUUUGGGAUAAGCCUGGGAAACUGGGUCUAAUACUGGAUAGGACCAUGCUGUAGGUGGUGUGGUGGAAAGAUUAGUUUCGGUAAGGGAUGAGCUCGCGGCCUAACAGCUUGUUGGUGGGGUAAUGGCCUACCAAGGCGUCGACGGGUAGCCGGCCUGAGAGGGUGGACGGCCACAUUGGGACUGCGAUACGGCCCAGACGCCUACGGGAGGCAGCAGUGGGGAAUAUUGCACAAUGGGCGCAAGCCUGAUGCAGCGACGCCGCGUGGGGGAUGACGGCCUUCGGGUUGUAAACUCCUUUCAGCCAUGACGAAGCCCUUGUGGUGACGGUAGUGGUAGAAGAAGCACCGGCUAACUACGUG
rnacentral:rRNA from 1 species